rnacentral:sRNA from 1 species
UUUCUAUUCUUCUGGCUUUACUAUUUUUGUUUUCUGAAAAGCAGUGUAUUUUGGCAGAUGUUGUAGGUGGUUUUCUAUGUGAGGGUCGGAAUGAUACGGAAGUGAGGGAUGUAGGAAGUAAGGCAGGUAGUGCCCCCUCCACUCCUGAGGAAGAGUUUGCCGACAGAGGCUGACCAGAGACACAAAAUUUACCACCAGCUUGUCUGAUAGAGAAGAAAUAAGAAGAAAGUGGCUUAUUUCAUGAAUAUCAGUCAUACAACAUUAAAUGAGUCGAUGAUACUUUUCAGUGUAGAUGUUUAACUGCUUAUGACCCCCUGUGAGUUUUCAAAAUCAAGUUGUAAUUACUAGGACACUUUUUUCUAAGUAAUAUCAUUAGUUUUAAUUGAAGACUUUUUGAACAUGAAAGAUUUUAUUAUACUUCAAAACUUCAUCAGAUAAAAUGACCUCAAAAACAAUACUAGAUUUAGCUUCUUUACAAAUUCCCAUUAUUUCAUAAGUUUCUUAUUUUCUUUAUUAUCAAGUACCUAAUUUCUAAAUGCAGUUGUAAUUAUUUUAGAAUUUUGUAACAGUGUAUAAGUGCUAUGAGAUAUUAUGAGUACACCACUUUCUUUACACAUUAAAGCAUAAUUUAUGUUUUUUGAUGCAGUGCAUAUAAUUUAUAUGAAGUUUUAAAUUUAGGAUGUUACUUCUUUUUUGAUUUGGAAAAAAUAGUUAUAGGUAAGGGCAGAGAAUGAUGCUAUAGUUCCAAUUCACAGUCUGUAUCAUGCAACUUAUUUCUGAAUGUUACUUAAUAUUUUUUCUAAUGUUUAUGCAUAUAAGAACAAUUUAUAUUAGAAAGAGUAAACUUCACUGUUAAUUAAAAGGAAAAAAGGAAUCUCUCCAUAGCCUGAACUCUGCCCAGUGGAAAGAAUGCCCCCAAGCCAAAGUGUAACACCAGUCCUUAAGGGAAAUACAAUCUUGAUUCCAUUGCUUUUAAAUAUGAGCUCCUUGUCUGUUUCAACGUAGCCUAAUUCAGGUGAAACAAAACCACUGAUCAGAAUGACAGAAAUCUAAUACUCGUUUGAAAUAGGCCAGUAAAGUGAGCCAUAGAUUGAUCCUGCUAGUUUGGUCUUACUAUUUUGGCCCUUGUGAACUUGGCAGAAAAUGUAAGCAGCCAUGUCCUUAGAACCCCUAGUGGAUAAAGAAUAUGCAACUUGUUGUGUGCCGUUUUACAAACUAACAGGGUCUUGUGAAUAACUACUGUUUCAUCUCUGUUUUCUGUGUUAUGAAUUCCAGUAAUAGUUUUCAAAUUGACAUCAGUGAUCCAAGUAAGUCAUCUGUAAUGUAGAAUGAGUAAGAUGGAACCAAUAUAGGGAAGGCAAAAACAGUCUUCAUUAUUACAGCCAGUACUGUCUAUUUCUCAUCUGUCAAAUUUAAGAAUUAUUCAUCAAAUAGGCAAAGAGGAGUUGAGAAAGGAAUCUUGUUUUUAGUUCAUUUCAAGAUUCUGUUAAAAACUUUUCCAUAGAAAUGAUUCCUAACUGUACUGCAUGAUUCUGUUUUCAUAGUUGUGAUUUUGUUUGUCUGUCUAAAGGCUGAUAGCUAAUUUGUUGCGGCUUGGAAGAAAUACUAAUUCUCUUUGGGGUUUUCCUCUUUAGCGGUGGGUCUCGGAAAAGUUCAUUGUUGAGGGCUUAAGAGAUUUGGAACUGUUUGGAGAACAGCCUCCGGGUGACACUCGGAGAAAAACCAAUGAUGCGAGCUCAGAGUCAAUAGCAUCCUUCUCUAAACAGGAGGUCAUGAGUAGCUUUCUGCCAGAGGGAGGGUGUUACGAGCUGCUCACUGUGAUAGGCAAAGGAUUUGAGGACCUGAUGACUGUGAAUCUAGCAAGGUACAAACCAACAGGAGAGUAUGUGACUGUACGGAGGAUUAACCUAGAAGCUUGUUCCAAUGAGAUGGUAACAUUCUUGCAGGGCGAGCUGCAUGUCUCCAAACUCUUCAACCAUCCCAAUAUCGUGCCAUAUCGAGCCACUUUUAUUGCAGACAAUGAGCUGUGGGUUGUCACAUCAUUCAUGGCAUACGGUUCUGCAAAAGAUCUCAUCUGUACACACUUCAUGGAUGGCAUGAAUGAGCUGGCGAUCGCUUACAUCCUGCAGGGGGUGCUGAAGGCCCUCGACUACAUCCACCACAUGGGAUAUGUACACAGAAUCUCCAGGGUUAUGAUGCCAAGUCUGACAUCUACAGUGUGGGAAUCACAGCCUGUGAACUGGCCAACGGCCACGUCCCCUUUAAGGAUAUGCCUGCCACCCAGAUGCUGCUAGAGAAACUGAAUGGCACAGUGCCCUGCCUGUUGGAUACCAGCACCAUCCCCGCUGAGGAGCUGACCAUGAGCCCUUCGCGCUCAGUGGCC